rnacentral:rRNA from 1 species
GGAUGAACGCUGGCGGCGUGCCUAAUACAUGCAAGUCGAGCGAACGGACGAGAAGCUUGCUUUUCUGAUGUUCGCGGCGGACGGGUGAGUAACACGUGGAUAACCUACCUAUAAGACUGGGAUAACUUCGGGAAACCGGAGCUAAUACCGGAUAAUAUUUUGAACCGCAUGGUUCAAAAGUGAAAGACGGUCUUGCUGUCACUUAUAGAUGGAUCCGCGCUGCAUUAGCUAGUUGGUAAGGUAACGGCUUACCAAGGCAACGAUGCAUAGCCGACCUGAGAGGGCGGUCGGCCGCACUGGGACGGAGAGAGGCACGAUCCGGCCUCCGGCGGGAGGAGUAGGGAGGGUUUCGCCAUGAGCGAGAGACAGCCGGAGGAACCAACGGCGGGUGAAGAAGGAAUGCGGACGGUACAAAAACCUUUUUAAAGAAGAAAGAACAUAUGCGUAAGUAUCUGUGCAUAUACGGUCGCUACCAAAACAGAAACCCCCAACUACGUA